rnacentral:rRNA from 1 species
UGGGGAAUUUUGGACAAUGGGCGAAAGCCUGAUCCAGCAAUGCCGCGUGUGUGAAGAAGGCCUUCGGGUUGUAAAGCACUUUUGUCCGGAAAGAAAUCCUUGGCUCUAAUACAGUCGGGGGAUGACGGUACCGGAAGAAUAAGCACCGGCUAACUACGUGCCAGCAGCCGCGGUAAUACGUAGGGUGCAAGCGUUAAUCGGAAUUACUGGGCGUAAAGCGUGCGCAGGCGGUUUGCUAAGACCGAUGUGAAAUCCCCGGGCUCAACCUGGGAACUGCAUUGGUGACUGGCAGGCUAGAGUAUGGCAGAGGGGGGUAGAAUUCCACGUGUAGCAGUGAAAUGCGUAGAGAUGUGGAGGAAUACCGAUGGCGAAGGCAGCCCCCUGGGCCAAAUACUGACGCUCAUGCACGAAAGCGUGGGGAGCAAACAGGAUUAGAUACCCUGGUAGUCCACGCCCUAAACGAUGUCAACUAGUUGUUGGGGAUUCAUUUCCUAGUAACGUAGCUAACGCGUGAAGUUGACCGCCUGGGGAGUAC